rnacentral:rRNA from 1 species
AAGGAUCAUUAUCGAAUAAACUUGAACAGGCUGCUGCUGGCCUCCUCAUUUGAGGGGUGUAAUGUGCACGCUUGUCAUCUUUAUCAUCUCUCCAACUGUGCACAUAUUGUAGACCUGGAAGAAAGUUUUUGAAUUCAUUUUCGAGUUGGGACUGCUGUGCUUUUUGAUCAAAGUCGGCUUUGCCUUGAAUUUUCCAGGUCUAUGUCAUUUUCACAACCUCUUGAUAUGUUUAGAAUGUUGAAUCAUAGUUAAAGAAAUAUACAACUUUCAGCAACGGAUCUCUUGGCUCUCGCAUCGAUGAAGAACGCAGCGAAAUGCGAUAAGUAAUGUGAAUUGCAGAAUUCAGUGAAUCAUCGAAUCUUUGAACGCAUCUUGCGCUCCUUGGUAUUCCGAGGAGCAUGCCUGUUUGAGUGUCAUUUAACUUCUCUCAACUGCAUCACUCAGUCUGAUGUGGCUUGGACGUGGGGCUUUGCAGGCUUUGAAUGAAGUCUGCUCCCCUGAAAUGAAUUAGUGGUAUCUGAGCUGCCAAUAGGUGUGAUAAUUAUCUACUUCUUUUGGUCAUGCUGGUUGUGCUGCUUCUAACAAACACUUGU